ACGCGGUUGCCCCGCCAAGGGGCAACUGAGUGGCAAACGGGUGAGUAACACGUGGGUGACCUGCCUUCGAGUGGGGGAUAACGUUUCGAAAGGAACGCUAAUACCGCAUGACAUCCUGCCUUUGAACAGGCGGAGAUCAAAGCUGGGGAUCGCAAGACCUGGCGCUUGAAGAGGGGCCCGCGUCCGAUUAGCUAGUUGGUGAGGUAACGGCUCACCAAGGGCGACGAUCGGUAUCCGGCCUGAGAGGGCGGACGGACACACUGGGACUGAGACACGGCCCAGACUCCUACGGGAGGCAGCAGUGGGGAAUUGCUCGCAAUGGGCGCAAGCCUGACGACGCAACGCCGCGUGGAGGAUGAAGGUCUUCGGAUUGUAAACUCCUGUUGAUCGGGACGAACAACCAUCGGGAUAACACCCCGGAGGUCUGACGGUACCGAUUGAGGAAGCCCCGGCUAACUCUGUGCCAGCAGCCGCGGUAAUACAGAGGGGGCAAGCGUUGUUCGGAAUUACUGGGCGUAAAGGGCGCGUAGGCGGCCGCCUAAGUCAGACGU
rnacentral:rRNA from 1 species